rnacentral:lncRNA from 1 species
UGAAUCACCUUUGGCAUUAUCUCAGAAAAAAAUGGUAGGGAGUUUUGCUAGUUGCUUUCCAAAGAUAGACUAAGGCCUUCAUGAAGAAAAAACAACAGCUUUUGCUUACUUUAAGGAUUUAAAAAAUUUUUAAUUCCAACAAGCCACGUUUUUAAUCCGUGUGCAUAUGCAUUUGCUUUGUAACAAUUAGGAGAUUGCUAUUAGAAAGCCAAUUACAUCAUUUUAGAGCCGCAUUAGAAUACAGCAGAGCCUGGACUGUUUCUCCCUUUCCUUGAAAAUCGAUACUUUUCCUGGUUUUCUCCAAAGACUGAGAAACACAUUAUAAACCCCCUUGAAUGUUCAUGGGUGGUCCUGAUCAAAGAAGGGACCCUGACACCUGGCAUCCAUUUGGAAAAGAUACAAUUGUUUCUGUUUCCCUAUCAAAUUGGCCUUUACAGGCUCCCCUCCUGAGAGCCUUUAUCUUUAAUCAUAUAAUUUCCUUUUCGGAUCUAAAGGUGGCCAGUCCAUUAACAUCUGUAAUAAACUCAUUUGUAUUCUAGUUAUGAUCAUCUGCUCAAUGUGCAUUUACUAAAAGCAUCCCCAUCUUUUCUUCUUGUUGCAGUUUUUAUGUUCCUCCUGAUGCUCAGGUUCACACACACAACAGGACACAGCAUUUCAGUUACAGGUGCAUAACUUCUGGGCACUGUGUCUUCUCUGUCUACUACUCUGCCUAAUUUCUCCUACAGGGUAACUGUCUCAGUCAGGGUUUCUAUUCCUGCACAAACAUCAUGACCAAGAAGCAAGUUGGAAGGAAACAAGUUGGCGUGUCAGUUUACACUUCCACAUUGCUGUUCAUCUCCAAAGGAAGUCAGGACAGGAACUCACACAGGUCAGGGAGCAGGAGCUGACGCAGAGGCCAUGGAGGGAUGUUACUUACUGGCUUGCCUCCCCUGGCUUGCUCAGCUUGCUUUCUUAUAGAACCCAGGACUACCAGCCCAGGGAUGGCACCACCCACAAUGGGUCCUCCUACCCUUGAUCACUAAUUGAGAAAAUGCCUUACAGUUGGAUCUCAUGGAUGCAUUUCCUCAAAGGAGGCUCCUUUCUCUGUGAUAACUUCAGCUUGUGGCAAGUUGACACACACAACUUCUAAGAUUAAGAAAAUAUCUAACUUUCAUCAAAAUUAGAAUGGUGAUUAACUAUGUUUGUUUUGAUGAGAAGCAUAAAGGAUGUAUUUUAGGUUAUACUAGUUACUGUUGAGUAUGUUUUUUUUAGAAUUUUAUAUACUACAUAUAUAAUGUAUUAUAUAUAAUAUUAUAUAUAUGUAUAGCAUAUAUAAUACAUAUAUGAUACAGUGUAUAGUAGUAAGCAGUGUUUGACCAAGUUCUCUCAAUCAGUGAAACCAUGAGAAAAGAAUGUUUGUGUGCAACACAAACAUACACCAGCAGCCAGACAGACAAGGAAAGUGUGCAAGGGUGAGCAGAUCCAGACACUGGACGGUCAUUGUCAUUAUUCCCUUAUGGUAGAAGUCUCUUCUCUUCAUUCAUUUGAAUGUGAAGUUUGAGCAUCAAUAGGGUUUUCCUCAAAUCACAACUUACCUACUUUGGCUUAUUUGAUUUUGUUCUUUGGUUUGUUUGAAUAUGGCUCCUGAAACUUGAUGGAAGCGACUGGGUUUCCUUGGUAAACACAUCACAAGCUCUAAGCAGAACCUGACACAUUUCAUUUCCUUGGUUCCUUAGCCCUCCUCCACCACUCUUAUCAGAAACAGGUUUUAUAAACUGCCAGUUCCCAGUUCUUACCCUGUCCAGAGGAAUCACAGUCCCCGGCGUUUGCUGAAACUCUCUUGGACCUUGGUGGUUUUUACGUACACAGCAGACUGUGGACUGUUAAUUUGGGCCUUUGCUUAUCUAAAUUAAAUUAACUUUUAAUUACAGUAGCGUUUUUUUCUUCUCUAAUAGAAGGGGACAUCUGGGAAUAAAUGUUGUCACCAAAUACCUUUGGUGUAGCAAAAUCACUGUGACAUGAAGCCACCUCUGUUUCUUUUCCUCGCAGGAGACCAACGUUUGCAACGAAAACCAUAAACAGAAUAAUUUCUUCCAUUUCUGAAGAAUUUUUUUUAAUCUCCCUAUUGAUUCAUGAAAUAAGACAAUGCAAAGCAAAUCCAUGCUGUUCUGAUUACUCGGAGAGUAAAUACACUGUGGUCUGGAGAGAUGGCUCAGCAGGAUUAAGAGUGCAUGCUGCCAUUGCAGAAGACCUGAGCUUGGGUCUUGUGGCCCACGUUGGGCAGCUCACAACGCCCUGUAACUCCAGCUUCAGGGGAUCCAUUGUCCUCUUCUGGUCUCUGUGGGCAUAAGUACUCAUGUACACAUAAACUUCUUCCUCUUCAUAUAAUAUAGAAUUAAAAUUAAAACACUUAGAAAAAAAUAAACAUUUGAUGAAGGUAUCCUGUAGGAAAGACAUAGUUGAAAAAUGUGGUUUUUCCACUCUGUCAUUAAAAGUGAUGUAUCUGGAGCUGAGGACAGAACCCAGGGCCUUGCCCUUCCUAGGCAAACAUGUAUGUGUGUCUGUGUAUACAUACAGGGAGCCAGGACUCCAGCUACAUAUGUAGCAGAGGAUGGCCUUAUCUGUCAUCAAUGGGAGGGGAGGGAGGCUUGAUGCCCCAGUGUAGGGGAAUGCUAGAGCGGUGACGUGGGAGCGGGUGAUUGGGUGCAGGAGCACCCUCAUAGAGGCAAAAGGGAGGGGGUGGGAGGAUAACCAGGACUGGAGAUACCAUUUGAAAUAUAAAUGCAUAAAAUGAUUAGUUAAAAAAUGUGAUGCUAUCAUGUGGCAUGAAUAGAUACCAUUGUGUUUAUUCAUGCUUAAGGAGUUGCCUAAGGGUCCAGAAGGUGGAAUCUAAGUCCGUGGUGGUAGAGUUACAGGGAAAUCUUGGGAAAUCUUGGGAUCAGCACCCCCACCCCAGAUCUUUUCCCAUGUGAAGGUUCUCAGUGCCAUGAACAGAAGCUCAAUGGUAGGGGCCCGUAGCUCCAUUGUACCCACCAGCACAUGAACGAAUAGUGAGGAAUUUUACUCUAAACGUUAUAGGUACUGGAAUGAUCCUUCAUGAUUUUAUCUGUGGGCCUACCUUUUUUCUUCAAAAAAAAAUAUUCUAUGCUUCGGCAGACUUAGCUACUUCUAAACAGUGCUAGAAUUUGAAGCACGGAUUUUCAUUAGACUGUGCCUCACUCCUAAGGCAAAACCAGAAGGCAAGUCUUCCGACAACUGAAUCUCCCGCACUGACGUAGUUAAUAAAGCCAGAGAAGCCCAGGACGAGAGCAAGUGGUCCCUGCUCCACGGUCUUAAUUGCUUUGCCUUUUCAAUUCCCCAAGUUUCAAGAUUUAAAGUUAUUUAAUAUCUGGAGAGUGAUAUCCCGGGAGAUAGUGAUGCCCUGUACAGAGAUCACAGGGAGACUUAGGCGUGAAGUUUAGCUCUUGCUUGGGCAGGAUAUCUCACCCCCCCAAAAAAAUCCCAGACUUCUUGAGACUGAGCAUGCUCAUAAAAGAGGGAUGGGCAGUUGUGGUGAUGAUAACAGCAGUUAGAUUAUAGAAUUAUAACAAAAGCGGCAUCUUGUCUCAGCUUCUUCACAAAUAUCACACUCAGGAACAAAUAAGGCUUUCCACUCAAAGGUGAUCUGUCGCUGGCAGCUUGGUUAUUAUUCUUACUUGAUUCUCACUGCUGUUGUUAUUGUUUUCUCCUUUCUUAUUAUCCCCCCAUUACUGCAAGUGGCUUCACGUGUGCAGAGGAGAUGAGAUGGAUGAUGGAUGCCGAGAGCAGCCAGCCAAACUCAGGGACCUGCCUGGGGAUUUUAAAAUAAGGAGAUGUCUACAUGUGAGAGCCCACGUGUGCUUUCCCCAGGGAAACCUCAUAGUUAGAUUUGCUUUCAAGAAAGGAAACUUGGCUGC